CCGCUGCCACUCCCGGGAGCAUGAAGGACCGAACCCAGGAGCUCCGCACGGCCAAGGACAGCGAUGACGAUGAUGACGUCACCGUCACCGUGGACCGAGACCGCUUCAUGGAUGAGUUCUUCGAACAGGUGGAGGAGAUCCGCGGCUUCAUUGACAAGAUCUCGGAGAAUGUGGAGGAGGUGAAGCGGAAGCACAGCGCCAUCCUGGCCUCCCCGAACCCUGAUGAGAAGACCAAGGAGGAGCUGGAGGAACUCAUGUCCGACAUCAAGAAGACAGCAAACAAAGUUCGCUCCAAGUUGAAGAGCAUUGAGCAGAGCAUCGAGCAGGAGGAAGGCCUGAACCGCUCAUCGGCUGACCUGAGGAUCCGAAAGACACAGCACUCCACGCUGUCCCGGAAGUUUGUGGAGGUGAUGUCCGAGUACAACGCCACGCAGUCUGACUACCGCGAGCGCUGCAAGGGCCGCAUCCAGAGGCAGCUGGAGAUCACCGGCCGGACCACGACCAGCGAGGAGCUGGAGGACAUGCUGGAGAGUGGGAACCCGGCCAUCUUUGCCUCCGGGAUCAUCAUGGACUCCAGCAUCUCAAAGCAGGCCCUGAGCGAGAUUGAGACACGCCACAGUGAGAUCAUCAAGCUGGAGAACAGCAUCCGGGAGCUGCACGACAUGUUCAUGGACAUGGCCAUGCUGGUGGAGAGCCAGGUGCUCUUUUCCUGAAAUCCUGCCCCGGGCCCCCUCGCAACCCUGAGGGGAGCCCUCUGGAGCUCGGGUGCCCCUGGCCCUGCAGGGGGAGAUGAUUGACAGGAUUGAGUACAACGUGGAACACUCGGUGGACUACGUGGAGAGGGCCGUGUCUGACACCAAGAAGGCUGUCAAGUACCAGAGCAAGGCUCGCCGGAAGAAGAUGAUGAUUCUCAUCUGCUGUGUGGUCCUGGGCAUCGUCAUUGCCUCCACCUUCGGGGGCAUCUUCGGAUAGAGGCCCCCCGCCCCGCCGCCACUCCACCCUCCGGAUGGUCCACUCCCAGGUGGCCCACCUGGCUGCUGCCACCUUCUGGCUCAGAGCCCUC